UGGUUGAAAUGCGUCGUUUUGGUUUUCCUUCUCUGUCGCGGUUCCGGUUGAUCUCUGGUGAUCGUGACCAAGCUUUCUUCACGGCGUGAGCCCGCGUUCAUCGUUUCACCGCCGCGACCUCCUAAGGUCGCAACCGAAAGCCAUGGUAUUUCCUAGCUCCCAAAGUUGUCGAUCUCACCAGCUCCGAUUGCAGUCCAAUUUAUUGUUGCGAAGAAUCUCUGCCUCGAUCUCGAUAGAGCAGCAUUACGUGGCUCAGGGUUUGAGUAUUGUUGGCUGCUUUCAUACGAACAAGAGGUUCGACUGGAGCUCUCUGGUGUUCCUAAGAAUAUCGGUGAUCACAUCUCUCAGCUAUUUCCCUCAGGCGCCAAUUCCCUAGGCGAAGCUCUUAUACUCUUCUUUCAGUCAAAGCAGUUUAUUGAUUCACUAGGUAUGACCAUCUUACGUUGCACAUUUAUGUUGUUUUGUAGUUUAAUAGAUUAAAGCUUGAAGACUAAUCAAAGGGUAAAGAUAGAAACCCUGAGAUGAAGGUUUGUGUUUCUAAUCACGACAAAAGUUUUGGACAUCUUACUACAGCAUGGAUACAGGAUUUGGAAGGUAAUCAGUUAAGUAGGGAGUAUAUAUGAAGGCCACUCUACACCAGUUUAGUCUCUUGGCAUUUGACAGUAUCUGUAUGUUGUUAUUGCUAUAUUGGAAAUGUAUGGGGAAGAUCUAGAUGAUUCGAAUGUGGCAUUGUAUUCGGAGUGGAAGUAGCUUUGGGUUAUGAGGAGAUUUGUUCAGAUUUUUCUGGGAACAGAGUGUUUAUUUGGAGAAAGCAUCGAUACAUGAAACUUAUCAGGCCUUUCACCAUGGAAAAGA